CUACACGACCGUACCGCAAACCGACACUGGUGCGCGAGAUGAGUAUUCUAAGGCGCUUGAGAGAACUCAGGAGAAGGAACUCGGCAAAUUGACACCGUAACUUCGGAAGAAGGUGUGCCUUUAGUAGGUGAACCAUUUACUUGGGGAGCCCAAUGAGGCUGCAAAAAAUCGGUGGCUGCAACUGUUUAUUAAAAACACAGCACUCUGCUAAGACGAAAGUCGACGUAUAGGGUGUGACGCCUGCCCGGUGCUGGAAGAUUAAAUGAUGGGGUGCAAGCUCUUGAUUGAAGUCCCAGUAAACGGCGGCCGUAACAAUAACGGUCCUAAGGUAGCGAAAUUCCUUGUCGGGUAAGUUCCGACCUGCACGAAUGGCGUAAUGAUGGCCACACUGUCUCCUCCUGAGACUCAGCGAAGUUGAAAUGUUUGUGAUGAUGCAAUCUCCCCGCGGAAAGACGGAAAGACCCCAUGAACCUUUACUGUAGCUUUGUAUUGGACUUUGAACAGAUCUGUGUAGGAUAGGUGGGAGGCUUUGAAGUGUGGUCGCUAGAUCGCAUGGAGCCAACGUUGAAAUACCACCCUGGUGUGUUUGAGGUUCUAACCUAGGUCCAUUAUCUGGAUCGGGGACAGUGCAUGGUAGGCAGUUUGACUGGGGCGGUCUCCUCCCAAAGUGUAACGGAGGAGUUCGAAGGUACGCUAGGUACGGUCGGACAUCGUGCUAAUAGUGCAAUGGCAUAAGCGUGCUUAACUGCGAGACUGACAAGUCGAGCAGAUGCGAAAGCAGGACAUAGUGAUCCGGUGGUUCUGUAUGGAAGGGCCAUCGCUCAACGGAUAAAAGGUACUCUGGGGAUAACAGGCUGAUACCGCCCAAGAGUUCAUAUCGACGGCGGUGUUUGGCACCUCGAUGUCGGCUCAUCUCAUCCUGGGGCUGUAGCCGGUCCCAAGGGUAUGGCUGUUCGCCAUUUAAAGAGGUACGUGAGCUGGGUUUAAAACGUCGUGAGACAGUUUGGUCCCUAUCUUCCGUGGGCGCUGCAGAUUUGAGGAAGCCUGCUCCUAGUACGAGAGGACCGGAGUGGACGAACCUCUGGUGUAUCGGUUGUCACGCCAGUGGCAUUGCCGAGUAGCUAAGUUCGGAAGAGAUAACCGCUGAAAGCAUCUAAGCGGGAAACUCGUUUCAAGAUUAGAUCUGCCGGGGCCUUGAGCCCCCUAAAGAGUCGUUCAAGACCAGGACGUUGAUAGGUCAGGUGUGGAAGC
rnacentral:rRNA from 1 species